UGAGGUAGGUAGAGGCAAGUGGAAUUCCGGGUGUAGUGGUGAAAUGCGUAGAUAUCCGGAGGAACAUCAGUGGCGAAGGCGACUUGCUGGACCUAACCUGACGCUCAGACGCGAAAGCAUGGGGAGCGAACGGGAUUAGAAACCCCGGUAGUCCAUGCCGUAAACGAUGUCUACUAGGCGUUGGAGGUUCAUCCCUUCAGUGCCGAAGCAAACGCGUUAAGUAGACCGCCUGGGGACUACGACCGCAAGGUUAAAACUCAAAGGAAUUGACGGGGGCCCGCACAAGCAGCGGAGCGUGUGGUUUAAUUCGAGGCUACACGAAGAACCUUACCUGGGCUUGACAUAUAGGUAGUAACGACCUGAAAGGGGAGUGACCUUCGGGAGCCUAUACAGGUGCUGCAUGGCUGUCGUCAGCUCAUGUCGUGAGAUGUUCGGUUAAGUCCGGUAACGAGCGCAACCCCUGGGUCUAGUUACAAGUGUCUAGACCGACUGCCCGGUUAAACUGGGAGGAAGGUGGGGAUGACGUCAAGUCAGCAUGGCCUUUAUGUCCAGGGCUACACACACGCUACAAUGGCCAAUACAAUAGGUUGCCAACCCGCGAGGGGGAGCCAAUCCAGUAAAGUUGGUCUCAGUUCGGAUUGCAGGCUGCAACUCGCCUGCAUGAAGUUGGAGUUGCUAGUAAACGCAGGUCAGCCAUACUGCGUUGAAUACGUUCCCGGGCCUUGCACACACCGCCCGUC
rnacentral:rRNA from 1 species